UCGAGAUUUCUCACACAACAUUUCACCAAAUGGACAAUACACGUAAUACUUCUCUCUAAAUUUCUAGUUUGAACCACGUAUGCUUAAAAAACAAAAUAUUUAAGUGAAAUAUUGAAACGCUUACUUAAAUAGAGUGAGAGAGACAGAGAGAGAGAGAGAGAGGAGAGAGAAAAUAAAAAAAGGAGGAAAAGAAACGGGGGCAAUUUACUUAUUUCACGUAUGCGCACUCCAUUUUACCAGCCAUAAUCAGAAGAGUUGCGCUACUGUAUAUACUGUAUAUACUGUGUCACUGGCCUGUGUCACUUACCGCGCUAUACGCAAUAGAAAAGAAGCAAGUGGCACGGCAUGUGCGAUUCCUAUAAUUACCUUAGUUAUGCUGGAGUCUCAUGAGACGUAUUUGCCGCGUAUCGCGUAACCGCGUAACCAAUUAGAAGCAAUCCGCUUUUUUUGCUAUGCGUAAAUAGAUCUACUGUCCCAUGGCGCGUAAAAGAUAGUUUGCGUAUACGUGAAAAUCAAUCAUAUUUCUAUAUUCUUCUAGAGUUCUAUAAUGGAAAGCCAAAUUCAUUGGUUACGCUAUUUAUAAAAACGCACCAUGAGACAGGAGAGAAAAUUCGCGUACACAUACAUCUCUACAAAUAGUCGUAUUAACUUCUAUAAGAUUUACUCCGAGAGAUAGGUAUUAAUUAAAGAAAAAUCUGUUCUACAAUCUGAUUACACAUUUAUAUCGUCAAAUACGAAUUCAAAUGAUUUGUGCACUUCGUCAGCAAAAGGAAUUCAAACACUGUUGAUGGUUCAGCUGCACAUUUAAAAUUGCGAAAAUUAAUAACUUGAUUUGGUUAUUAAUAAAAAAGAAUAAGUGAAAUCAAUGAUCAGCUGUACAUAAAUUUUGGGUUCAGUAUUUUCUUAUGAAAAUCAAUUACUUCAAGGAGCAAGUGAUAAUCUUGUAAAAGAAUUUUGUAAAAGUAUAACAAUUCCACAAUUGCUAGUCAAUUUUUUAAUUACUUUCAUAUGAACAUGAAAAUAUACCAAGAAUUAAAUUUGGUGGAACUACUUAUAACAAAGCAGAAAAUAUGUAUUCGAAUGCCAAUAUCUGAAAACACACGUUUGGAAAUUUGUUUGCGCUAUUUAGCUUCUGGUAAUAGCAUGAAAUCACCGAGCUGAACAUAAUCAUUUCCAAAAUUAUGUCAGAAACUUGUGAAGCAAUCUGGACGGUGUUAAAAGUUAGGAACUUUCCUAACUGCAUAGACGCUGUGGAUAGAAAACACGUUAUGAUUCAGGCCUCCACACAGUAGCUCAACAUAUUAUAAUUAUAAAUCAUACCAUACAGUUUAAAUUUGCUCGCUGUUUGUGAUGCAGAGUAUUGCUUUAUUUUCUUAGACAUCGGAGCUGAAGAAUGUCAAAGUGA